rnacentral:rRNA from 1 species
UGGGGAAUCUUCCGCAAUGGACGAAUGUCUGACGGAGCAACGCCGCGUGAGUGAAGACGGCCUUCGGGUUGUAAAGCUCUGUGAUUCGGGACGAAAGGCCAUAUGUGAAUAAUAUAUGGACAUGACGGUACCGAAAAAGCAAGCCACGGCUAACUACGUGCCAGCAGCCGCGGUAUUACGUAGGUGGCAAGCGUUGUGCGGAAUUAUUGGGCGUAAAGCGCGCGCAGGCGGUCACUUAAGUCCAUCUUAGAAGUGCGGGGCUUUACCCCGUGAUGGGAUGGAAACUGGGAGACUGGAGUAUAGGAGAGGAAAGUGGAAUUCCUAGUGUAGCGGUGAAAUGCGUAGAUAUUAGGAAGAACACCGGUGGCGAAGGCGACUUUCUGGACGAAAACUGACGCUGAGGCGCGAAAGCGUGGGGAGCAAACAGG